rnacentral:rRNA from 1 species
GACGAACGCUGGCGACGUGCUUAACACAUGCAAGUCGAACGGAAAGGCCCCUUUGGGGGUACUCGAGUGGCGAACGGGUGAGUAACACGUGAGUAACCUGCCCUUGACUUCGGGAUAACUUCAGGAAACUGGGGCUAAUACCGGAUAGGAAUCCUUGCUGCAUGGUGGGGGUUGGAAAGCUUCGGCGGUUUUGGAUGGACUGGCGGCUUAUCAGCUUGUUGGUGGGGUAGUGGCUUACCAAGGCUUUGACGGGUAGCCGGCCUGAGAGGGCGACCGGCCACAUUGGGACUGAGAUACGGCCCAGACUCCUACGGGAGGCAGCAGUGGGGAAUAUUGCACAAUGGGCGGAAGCCUGAUGCAGCAACGCCGCGUGCGGGAUGACGGCCUUCGGGUUGUAAACCGCUUUCAGCAGGGGCGAAGCUUGUGGUGACGGUACCUGCAGAAGAAGCACCGGCUAACUACGUG